GGGGGCGAGCGUUAUCCGGAUUUAUUGGGCGUAAAGCGUUCGUAGGCGGUUUGUUAAGUCUGAGAUUUAAGCCCGAGGCUCAACCUCGGUUCGUUUCAGAAACUGGCAGACUUGAGUGUGGUAGAGGCAAGUGGAAUCUCUAGUGUAGCGGUUAAAUGCGUAGAUAUUAGAAGGAACACCAGUGGCGAAGGCGGCUUGCUGGGCCAUUACUGACGCUGAGGAACGAAAGCGUGGGGAGCAAAU
rnacentral:rRNA from 1 species